UACGUAGGGUGCAAGCGUUGUCCGGAAUUAUUGGGCGUAAAGAGCUCGUAGGCGGUUUGUCGCGUCUGCUGUGAAAACUCGGGGCUUAACUCCGGGCCUGCAGUGGGUACGGGCAGACUAGAGUGCGGUAGGGGAGACUGGAAUUCCUGGUGUAGCGGUGAGAUGCGCAGAUAUCAGGAGGAACACCGGUGGCGAAGGCGGUUCUCUGGGCAUUACCUGACGCUGAGGAGCGAAAGUGUGGGGAGCGAACAGG
rnacentral:rRNA from 1 species